rnacentral:rRNA from 1 species
AUUUAAUGAAUUAUUUUUUUUUUUUUUUUUAAUUAAUUAAUUAAUAAAAUUAAUUUUAAUAUAAUAAAAGUUUUAGUAUUAAAUAAGAAUAAAUAUUUUAUAUAAUAGUUUAUUAGUAAUGUGAAUUAAAUUUGAAAUAUCUUGAAAAAUUUAAAAUUUUAAAAAUAAAAAUUAAUUUUUUGUACCUUGUGUAUCAGGGUUUAUUAAAUAAAAAUUAUAUAAUUUAUUUUUCUCGAAUUUAAAAGAUUUAUUUAUUUAUUAAAUUUAAUGUAUCAAAAUUAUUUUUUAUAAAUUUAUAGUAAUGAAAUGUUAAUCGUUUUUAAAGAUUUCUAGUUUUUUAAUAAAUAAAUUUAAUUUAGAUUUUAAUUUUUAUUUUUUUUUUUAAAAAAAUAAAUAAAAUUAAAAUUAAUAUUUUAAGGGAUAAGCUUUAAAAUAAAUUAUUAUAAUUUCUUUAAAAAAUUUAUUUAAAUAGGUUUAGAAAUAGCUUUUUUUAAAAAAAUGUUAUAAUUUAAUUUAAAAUUUAAUUAAUUUUUUUAUAUAUUUAAUAAUUUAUUAAAAUAAUUUAUUUAUUUAAUUAUUUUAUGGAAUAAUGAUAAAAUUAGUAAAUUAAAAAUGUUAAUUUUAUUUAAAUAGUGAUAGGUUUAAAUAAAGGAAUUCGGCAAAAUUUUUUACUCACCUGUUUAUCAAAAACAUGUCUUUUUGAAUUUUAAUUUAAAGUCUGGUCUGCCCAAUGAUAUUAAAUUUAAUGGCUGCGGUAUUUUGACCGUGCAAAGGUAGCAUAAUAAUUUGUCUUUUAAUUGAAGGCUGGUAUGAAUGAUUUAAUGAAGUAAAAACUGUCUCUAUUAAAUUAUUAAUUGAAUUUUAUUUUUUAGUUAAAAAGCUAAAAUAUUAUUAAAGGACGAGAAGACCCUAUAGAGUUUUAUAUUAAUUUUUAUAAUUUAUUUAAAUUUAAUUAGAUUAUUAAUUUUAAUAUUUUGUUGGGGUGAUAGGAAAAUUAAUUAAACUUUUUUAUUUUUUUUAAAACAUUGAUUUAUGAAUUUUUGAUCUUUAAAUUAAGAUUAUUAGAAUAAAUUACCUUAGGGAUAACAGCGUUAUUUUUUUUAAAGUUCAUAUUUAUAAAAAAGAUUGCGACCUCGAUGUUGGAUUAAAAUAAAUUUUAGGUGCAGAAGCUUAAAUUUUAGGUCUGUUCGACCUUUAAAAUUUUACAUGAUCUGAGUUCAAACCGGUGUAAGCCAGGUUGGUUUCUAUCCUUAAUUUUGUAAAAAAUUUUUAGUACGAAAGGACCAAAAUUUAAAAAUAAUUUUUAAUAAAUUAAUGUUUAAUAAUAAAUAUU